CCUACGGGAGGCAGCAGUGGGGAAUUUUGGACAAUGGGCGCAAGCCUGAUCCUGCCAUGCCGCGUGAGUGAAGAAGGCCUUCGGGUUGUAAAGCUCUUUCGGCCGGGAAGAAAUCGUGUUCUCUAACAUAGGACAUGGAUGACGGUACCGGACUAAGAAGCACCGGCUAACUACGUGCCAGCAGCCGCGGUAAUACGUAGGGUGCGAGCGUUAAUCGGAAUUACUGGGCGUAAAGCGUGCGCAGGCGGUUUUGUAAGACAGAUGUGAAAUCCCCGGGCUUAACCUGGGAACUGCGUUUGUGACUGCAAGGCUAGAGUACGGCAGAGGGGGGUGGAAUUCCACGUGUAGCAGUGAAAUGCGUAGAGAUGUGGAGGAACACCGAUGGCGAAGGCAGCCCCCUGGGUUAACACUGACGCUCAGGCACGAAAGCGUGGGGAGCAAACAGGAUUAGAUACCCUGGUAGUCCACGCCCUAAACGAUGUCAACUAGUCGUUCGGAGCAGCAAUGCACUGAGUGACGCAGCUAACGCGUGAAGUCGACCGCCUGGGGAGUACGGCCGCAAGGUUAAAACUCAAAGGAAUUGACGG
rnacentral:rRNA from 1 species